rnacentral:lncRNA from 1 species
UCAAUUUUCAACAAUUUUUAUAAAAUUUGUAAAUUUUUACUAAAAUUUUCUACUGAAACUACUGGGCCAAGUUCAUUAUAGAUAGAGAUAAUUGUAAGCUGCAAGGAUGUUCAGUAAAGUAAGAUGUACAAACACAUCACCAUCACCAAAAUACAAUUUUGUCAUGAAUCCAUCUGCUUCCUUUUUUUAAUAGUCACAUAGACCAAGGUGAGCGACACAGGCUCUUUAGAGCCUCUAGUUCUAGUUUCCAGACAAUAACUAGUGUGUAAGGGUAUGGAUCUCUCUGAAAUUGUACCACAAUGUUCCUUAUAACAAAGAGAAGAAUGGGAUUGUGAGUUUGGGAUUAAUUGCCCCAGACAUGUAGGCAUUAGGAGCCAAAAAAGGGCCAAAAAGAAGCAUUUUUCUAGUUUCAGAAAAUAACUUGUGUUUAAGCGUAUGGAUCUUGCUGAAAUUUUACUACAAGGUUCCAUACUACAAAAAAAGGCUGGCACUGAGUUUUGGGGUUAUUGCUCCAAAGGGGGUUUUCAAUAAGUUAAGGAGGGGGGGAUUUACAAUUUUUUAAGGGGAUGCAUAUAUUUUUUUCUCUUCAAAUUUCAAAUUUUUGAAAAGUUUUAAAGAUGAAAUCUUCAAUUUCACACUGACAGUAACGAGCAAUAGAUUUGCAAAGUUUUUUACCACAUUUAUUUUGUGUCAGAAACUUAUUAUGUCAAAAAUUUGACCACAAUCCAAAAUCAGACAGUAUCAAUCUUGAAUGUUUUUGUCCAUACUUGCCCAACUGUAAAGGGUUCGACCUCUGCGGUCGUAUAAAGCUGUGCCCUGCGGAGCAUCUGGUUAUUAAUCAUUUACAUAUAUAAUUAUAAGCCAUUUGUAAAAGUCUUAUAAAAUCAUAUUUUUUUU